UAUACAAUAUAUACACCAUAUACAACAUAUGCUAUAUUAUAUUGUAUAUAUAAAAGACAAAUAUAAAAAGAUAAAAUAGAUAAAAUAGAUAAAAUAGAUAAAAUAGAUUAAAUACAAAAUAUAAACCUCAUGAGCUGCUCCGACAGCACCCACCCCUUUUUAUUUGGGUUUUUUUUGGUUUUUUGGGUACCUUUUCCAGCUUUUCCGCCCUUUUCUCGCGGCUGCAAUGAAAAUCCAAAUUCCCCCUCUCCUUCCCCUCCUCCUCCUCUUCCUCCUCCUCCUCAUCCCCAGCGUUCCCAGCCCCUUCCCAGCGCCAUAAAACUUUUAUUGCCCCUCGCUGCUUUAAUAUGAGUUUUCUUAGGGCUUUAGAGCAUAAAAAGCAAAUUAUUCACGGCCUUCUCCCGCCUGCUUUCGCUGCUGGCCCGGGGUUGUUCUCCCUUUUUCGCUUUCCCAUUUUCUGGGGUUUUUUUUGCCUCUUUUAAUAAAAAUUUGGGGUGCCUGGGGAGGCGCGGGUGGGCGUUGGUGAGCGCCACACACUCGGGUUUUAGGAAUAAUCCGAUUAUUUUAGCCAUCACUCAAUUAUUUUAGCCAUAAUUCAAUUAUUUAAUUUCCAAUUAAAUAAGAGAGAAAUUAUCGAUUUCAUUCCUCUUCCCUUCCCAAGGCCCCGGAUGGAAAUUCUGGGCCAUUUUUACAUUUUCUUCUUUCUUUUUAUUUUUUUUUCCCCUUUUCCUUGUUUUUAUUUUUUUAUUUUUGUGUGUGUGAUUAAUCCUUUUUCCUUUGUUUUCAUUCCCUCUCCAAUGGCAGCCCGGCCCUGCCGCCACGUGAUCCCUCUUUGUGGACACCCGAAUUCCCAGGAUUUCACCCCAAACGGAGCCGUCCCUCUCCAUCCCUCUCCUUCCUCCCCAUCUCCCCUUCCUUGGGCGAUUUUUUAAUCCCCUUCAAAUCCUCAUAUUUCAUUUUAUUUUCAUUUUUCCCACCUCCAAAUCGGACGGAUAGGACGAGAUCAAAUCGAGAACAGAAAGUUUAUUCAGGAAUUGUUCACCAGACAACCCUUGAAGCGAGGAAAGAAAAGAAGGACUGGAAGAACAAAGGAAAGCUCCCAGAGGAGGGGAGGGAGGGGAGGGAUCCGCUAUGAAAUUCUUCUAAUUCAGGACUAAACAAUUACAGCCCGCUUCUGCUCUCAUGCCUCCAGUAGAACUAAUUACAUUAUUCAUUAGUACCGAGGUAACAUAAAACUACUGCUUCUCCCUAAAUUACAAGAACUAAAAUAAGCUCGUGGUACAAUGACAAAGGGAACACAACGUCCUUUUUUUAUUAUUAUUUUUAAACUUUUUUUUCUGCUUUUUUAAAUUUUUUUUUGGGGGGGAAGGAAAUACUAAAAAAGUACCAUUUUAGUCUUAUUUUUGUGGUGGUUUUUUUUGUUUGGUUGGUUUUUUGUUUUUCCCUCAUAUAAAUACAACGUUUCGGGGGGGGAUAAAUAAUACAAAACAAAAGAAAAAAGGAAAAUAUUUUCAACUGGCUCUAACCAAUAAAUAUAUAUGAAUGUUCACCAGAACACACACCUACCUGAAGGGCGCCUCGGCGGAGCUGAGAGCCCUUCAAAGUUGGGGGUUUUUUUGUUUUUUUAAUUAUUUUUUUUUAAUACCCAUUAUAUGUAAACUCUAAGUGCAACAAAGAUGUCCAGGCAGGAAAGCACCAGCGAAUCCCGGGGAUCCGGUUGCUCCUGCUCCCGUGGGAGGACAAUCCCUCGGUUCAAAUAUACCCUGUUUUCACGUAAGCUCAGGAGGAGAGGAGGAAAGAGGCUCAGGAUUUCUCCGAUUGCUUUUUUUCAGUCAUAAACUCUAAAAAAAAUCACCCCAAACCCCCCUCAAAUGGAGAAAUGGAGCCGUGGCCUCGGCAGAGGAGGAGGGAGGGGAAUAUUCAGACCUGUCAACUCUUUCUUCCUCUCUUUGGAGUUUGGGGCGGGGGAAAAAAGGGGAAUUCAGGUGUUCCCAAGAAGUUUCCUCAGCCCUUUGUGGUGCUUGGGCCUCUCUCAUCCCGAGUUUUUGCGUUUUUUGAUGUUGUUGAUUUGGAGAGGGGCGGCGGGGCCUGGAGGGGCGAGCGCGGCUCCUGGGCGUUGGCAGGUGUGGAUAUUCGCAAUUUUGGGGGAUGUUUGCAGGGUUUUGGGGGGAGUUACCCAUUGGAAAUUCGGAUUUAUCCUUUUUCCGGCGGGAAUUUGGAUUUAUCCUUUUUCCGGCGGGAAUUCGGAUUUAUCCUUUUUCCAGCGGGAAUUUGGAUUUAUCCUUUUUCCAGCGGGAAUUUGGAUUUAUCCUUUUUCCGGCGGGAAAGGACAACCCUUCCUCGGAAGGCCGGGAAGGAAAGCACAGGUGGAUGUGGAGAAGGACUCGGAGGAGGGGGGAAAUUCCUGGUGGAUCUUUCUGGGGUUUUGUGGGUGCAGAGACCCCAGAACUUGGCUCCGGACUCUUCUCCUUCCCAGCAUCCAGGAAUUAUCGGUGACGAUCCGGAUGUGGCUUGGAAACGACGGAUUUGGCCUCUUAAACCCUGCGGGAUUCCCACAAAAACCACCCCGAGCCCGU